AUUGAACGCUGGCGGAAUGCUUUACACAUGCAAGUCGAACGGCAGCACGGACUUCGGUCUGGUGGCGAGUGGCGAACGGGUGAGUAAUGUAUCGGAACGUGCCCAGUCGUGGGGGAUAACGUAGCGAAAAUUACGCUAAUACCGCAUACGAUCUAUGGAUGAAAGCGGGGGAUCGCAAGACCUCGCGCGAUUGGAGCGGCCGAUAUCAGAUUAGGUAGUUGGUGGGGUAAAGGCCCACCAAGCCAACGAUCUGUAGCUGGUCUGAGAGGACGACCAGCCACACUGGAACUGAGACGCGGUCCAGACUCCGACGGGAUGCAGCAGUGUAGAAUUUUGGACAAUGGGCGACAGCCGGAUCCAGCCAUUCCGCGUGCAGGAUGAAGGCCGUCGGGUUGUAAACUGCUUUUGUACAGAACGAGAAGAUUUCUACUAAUACUAGGAGCUCAUGACGGUACUGUAAGAAUAAGCACCGGCUAACGACGUGCCAGCAGCCGCCGUAA
rnacentral:rRNA from 1 species